rnacentral:rRNA from 1 species
UACGGAGGGUGCAAGCGUUAUCCGGAUUCACUGGGUUUAAAGGGUACGUAGGCGGGCAGGUAAGUCAGUGGUGAAAUCUCCGAGCUUAACUCGGAAACUGCCAUUGAUACUAUUUGUCUUGAAUAUUGUGGAGGUAAGCGGAAUAUGUCAUGUAGCGGUGAAAUGCUUAGAUAUGACAUAGAACACCAAUUGCGAAGGCAGCUUACUACACAAUGAUUGACGCUGAGGCACGAAAGCGUGGGGAUCAAACAGG